rnacentral:rRNA from 1 species
UUUUUAAUAUACUAGGAUUAGAUACCCUAUUAUUUGAAAUGUAAAAUUUAAUAUUAGAUUAUUAAUAGUUAUAUUCUUUAAAAUUAAAGAAUUCGGCGGUAUUUUAGUCCAUUCAGAGGAACCUGUCCUAUAAUUGAUUCUCCACGUUAAGUUAGACUUAAUAUAUAAGUUUGUAUAUCGUCGUAGUUUGAGGGUUUUAAAAGAAUCAGAAUCUUCUAAAUUUUUGAUGAAAUGGAAUUCAGAUCAAGGUGC